AGUUGUAUCCUGGCUCAGGAUGAACGCUGGCGGUAUGCCUAACACAUGCAAGUCGUACGAGAGUUUUUAACUCAAGUGGCGGACGGGUGAGUAACACGUGAGAAUUUGCCUUUAGGAGGGGGACAACAACUGGAAACGGUUGCUAAUACCCCAUAUGCUUUCGAGUGAAAUGAAUUUAUUCGCCUGAAGAGAAGCUCGCGGCUGAUUAGCUUGUUGGUAGAGUAAUAGCCUACCAAGGCGACGAUCAGUAUCUGGUUUGAGAGGACGACCAGACACACUGGAACUGAGACACGGUCCAGACUCCUACGGGAGGCAGCAGUGGGGAAUUUUCCGCAAUGGGCGAAAGCCUGACGGAGCAAUACCGCGUGAGGGAAGACGGCCUAUGGGUUGUAAACCUCUUUUUUCAGGGAGGAAUCAAUGACGUGUACCUGAAGAAUAAGCAUCGGCUAACUCCGUGCCAGCAGCCGCGGUAAGACGGAGGAUGCAAGUGUUAUCCGGAAUCACUGGGCGUAAAGCGUCUGUAGGUGGUUGAACAAGUCAACUGUUAAAUCUUGAGGCUUAACUUCAAAAUCGCA
rnacentral:rRNA from 1 species